rnacentral:rRNA from 1 species
UACGUAGGGGGCAAGCGUUGUCCGGAAUCAUUGGGCGUAAAGCGCGUGUAGGCGGCCCGGUAAGUCCGCUGUGAAAGUCCAGGGCUCAACCCUGGGAUGCCGGUGGAUACUGUCGGGCUCGAGUCCGGAAGAGGAAAGUGGAAUUCCUGGUGUAGCGGUGAAAUGCGCAGAUAUCAGGAAGAACACCCGUGGCGAAGGCGGCUUUCUGGGACGGUACUGACGCUGAGACGCGAAAGCGUGGGGAGCGAACAGG